UGUAUAACGCUCACAGUGAGCCUGGCUCCCUCUGUAUAACGCUCACAGUGAGCCUGUCUCCCUCUGUAUAACGCUCACAGUGAGCCUGUCUCCCUCUGUAUAACGCUCACAGUGAGCCUGUCUCCCUCUGUAUAACGCUCACAGUGAGCCUGUCUCCCUCUGUAUAACGCUCACAGUGAGCCUGUCCCCCUCUGUAUAACGCUCACAGUGAGCCUGUCUCCCUCUGUAUAACGCGCACACUGAGCCUGGCUCCCUCUGUAUAACGCGCACACUGAGCCUGGCUCCCUCUGUAUAACGCGCACACUGAGCCUGGCUCCCUCUGUAUAACGCGCACACUGAGCCUGGCUCCCUCUGUAUAACGCGCUCACACUGCGCCUGGCUCCCUCUGUAUAGCGCAGCGCGCCUGUCUCCCAUUGCAUAGCGCACGCUCACACUGCGCCUGUCUCCCUUCGCCCGUUUUGUCUGUGCCUUGGAAAAGUCCAUUGUAGGUCUCACACAUAAGAACAUUAAAAGAACAUUCCAAUGUUUUUAACAAUUUCGUAAAUCUAUCCGAAUUGAAAGCAUGCCUACAUUUAUUGGGAAUAUAUCGAAACGGCUUGCAAAUGCUGCUGAACUGUUGUCUGCAGCCUUUGUAAGCCCCCAGUCAUGCGGCUCAUUAUGAAGUUUAAAAGUAAUCCCGGAGGGAAGGCAGGGCGCUCUAGCUUAGCUCGUCUGUUCACAAAUGGGAAGAAAACUAAUUUCACAAAUACCCACGUGGCUGCUGGACAUAAUAUGAAAUUAGUUUUAAAAAUUCAAAUUUAAGUCAGCC